GAUGAACGCUGGCGGCGUGCCUAAUACAUGCAAGUCGAGCGAACAGACGAGGAGCUUGCUCCUCUGACGUUAGCGGCGGACGGGUGAGUAACACGUGGAUAACCUACCUAUAAUACUUGGAUAACUUCGGGAAACCGGAGCUAAUACCGGAUAAUAUAUUGAACCGCAUGGUUCAAUAGUGAAAGACGGUUUUGCUGUCACUUAUAGCUGGAUCCGCGCCGCAUUAGCUAGUUGGUAAGGUAACGGCUUACCAAGGCAACGAUGCGUAGCCGACCUGAGAGGGUGAUCGGCCACACUGGAACUGAGACACGGUCCAGACUCCUACGGGAGGCAGCAGUAGGGAAUCUUCCGCAAUGGGCGAAAGCUUGACGGAGCAACGCCGCGUGAGUGAUGAAGGUCUUCGGAUCGUAAAACUCUGUUAUUAGGGAAGAAAAAAUGUGUAAGUAACUAUGCACGUCUUGACGGUACCUAAUCAGAAAGCCACGGCUAACUACGUG
rnacentral:rRNA from 1 species